rnacentral:lncRNA from 1 species
CAAGAAGUUUCUAGAUUCUGACAAGCCAAAGUUCCUCGGCCUUUGCUAACAGGCCUUUGCUAACAGCAUGGGUAGCUGGAGGCCUUUUGUUUGGGGAGCUGCCAUGGGCAUGCGUGUGAGGCAGGAAUUAAGUACUGAUUGCAGUAGCUUUGGAGGAUGGAUGCUCUGUCUGACUUUCUUAUGAUGCUCCUGGAAGAUGAGACCCUCUAGGAAGAAGCCUCUGCUUCCCACUGCUGGAUUGUGAUGGAUCUCAUUCGUGCUUGUCUCACUCCUGGAACAAAACCUCUGACCGGAGCAACUUAAGGAAGGGAAUGUGAAAAGCUAUGCUGACAGGGGAGGUAAGGUGGUGUAAAUGGCGCCCUAGCUUUGGUUGCAGGAGCACGAGGAGGUGGUUCACCUAGCAUCUACAG